rnacentral:tmRNA from 1 species
GGGGGCGAAAAGGGCUCGACGGGGGUAGGUAGGGUUAAACCGCAGGUCGUGGUCGCACUCGCCACGUAAAAAAGGGUGCGCAAACACAACUGCCAACGAUUACGCUUACGCAUUGGCUGCCUAAGAUUGUGCAGCCACGUGCCUUAGGUGCUUUGCCUUUCGGCCCUAAGGUGCGUGACCAAGAAAGGCUUGGGUGAAGAUAGUUGGUAGAGCUAUCUUCACCGAGAAAUUAUCUACCUACUUGUGAGCUUCACUGCCAGUGGUGAGCUCACAAGGAUUUAUUUUCACUGGCUAAGCCUGUAGUGGUUUAACUUGAACUAUUUCCGGACGCGGGUUCAAUUCCCGCCGCCUCCACCA